GUUUCACUGAAACCUCAUGAGUGACCUUGAGCCAGAAACAGCCAGCUAAGCCACUCUUGGAUUCCAGACCUUCAAAAACUAUGAGUGUGCCUGGGCCCUCAGCUAUUGGGGAUGAGAAGGGAUGCGGAGUGGGAGGCAGUCCACAUGUCUGUUCCAACAAAGCUCAGAGGCUUUGCAACACAGAUUAGAAAGCGGGGGAGGGGGAGCCUCAAGAGUCCCUUGACAGUUACAUCAAAGGAAGAAAAGAAGGAGAGAAGAAAGGUGACUAUCAGGAGAAUUUUCCAGCCAGAAGAAAGACACAGAGGCACAGGCAUUUCAUGGCCUGAAAAAGGAAGAGCACAGAGACAAGUGUGGCUCCAGUUAAAGGACCAGCGGAGAUGAAA